GAGGGUAUAGCUCAAGUGGUAGAGCACAUGCUUAGCAUGCACAAAGUCCUGGGUUCAAUCCCCAAUGCCUGCU
rnacentral:tRNA from 1 species